GGUUAUAGCUCAGUUGGUAGAGUGUUUCCCCAGCACGUAUGAGGCACUGGGUUCAAUCCUCAGCACCA
rnacentral:tRNA from 1 species